AUUGAACGCUGGCGGCAUGCCUUACACAUGCAAGUCGAACGGCAGCAUGAUCUAGCUUGCUAGAUUGAUGGCGAGUGGCGAACGGGUGAGUAAUACAUCGGAACGUGCCCUGUAGUGGGGGAUAACUAGUCGAAAGAUUAGCUAAUCCCGCAUACGACCUGAGGGUGAAAGUGGGGGACCGCAAGGCCUCAUGCUAUAGGAGCGGCCGAUGUCUGAUUAGCUAGUUGGUGAGGUAAAGGCUCACCAAGGCGACGAUCAGUAGCUGGUCUGAGAGGACGAUCAGCCACACUGGGACUGAGACACGGCCCAGACUCCUACGGGAGGCAGCAGUGGGGAAUUUUGGACAAUGGGCGAAAGCCUGAUCCAGCAAUGCCGCGUGUGUGAAGAAGGCCUUCGGGUUGUAAAGCACUUUUGUCCGGAAAGAAAUGGCUCUGGUUAAUACCUGGGGUCGAUGACGGUACCGGAAGAAUAAGGACCGGCUAACUACGUG
rnacentral:rRNA from 1 species